AAUUGCUCAAUCUCAUUCGUGGCUCUUCGGAUCACCUGCAACUCAGCGGGGCUGGCGGAGGCUUUGCGCUCCUGGCUCUGAGCUUUCCGGCUGGGCUGCGGUCUGGGGUUCCGUGUGCCCGUAGGUCAGGCAUUGCAUUUGACCUGGAAGCCACCAGGGCACGUGGUCUGCUCCGUGUCUCAUUCUGGGACGUGGCUGAAGGAGCAGCAGCUCCUGAAGCAUGCUCUCUCACGAGGACCCCCGGGGCGAGAUGGCGGACCCCACCAACCACACGGGCCCAUUUUGGGCUGUUUGCUGGACCUGGUGAAGACAACCACAUGGCCAAGCCCAGGGACACAUAUUCUCUGCUCCAUAUGCAGCCAUCGUGGAGUGGGAACGGGACCACAGAUCUCUCUGUGCGUGAGACUCUGAGCCACAUGAGCGUCCGGAGCACCCGCCUGCACGUGGUCACGCAUCUCCGUGUGGCGGAACCACUCUGCUUUGCUCAACGAUCAAUACUCUUCCGGAGGAGCGUCAUAAAAUUAUUUUAGUGAGCGGCUGAUGGCGGCUGCGUGAGAGAAAGGCCGCGGGUCCCUGCUGGGAAUUUAGUGCAAAGUGGGACAAUCUGGCCUCGGUCUCCGCUCCCGUCAUCAACUGUGUGAAGCGGCCCGGUGUGUCCAUCACCUUGAAGGCAUGUGAUUUCUGGCCUCGUCGCCGCUCACAGGAACAGAGGGGCACAAGCCAAGGAGACUGAACUUUCCAACCUAUUCGGGUGAGCUCAGCCGUCAGGGAUUUGGAGGCCACCGGGGAGCAGUUGGAAUGAAAAUUCGGCUUGAGGAACUGCUCCCACGCCCGCAGAGUUGAAAGCAUCCCCGCAGAAGCGUCUGAGCCGUACGAAGGAUUCCUUUCCCUUGUUGGAUGAGGACGGGGUUCUUGGAAGCAUUCAUGAUUUCAUUUGAUUUCUUCUUUGUCACCUGUGUGAAGUUGCCCAGCGGUCCUUGGUCUCCUGUUGUGGCCGUGGAAUCACCAGCAUGUCCUGGUCCCCAGAUGAUUUAAUGCUUCGAUGGAGAGUGCUUUGAAAAGAACUCCUGCCCCCGCCUCCCGUCCCCAGCCCUUCAGCAGGUUAGUUUAGCUUAGUAAUUAGCAAUCACAAUAUGAGCUGGGAUAAUUAUCCCCAAAAGUCAAAAGAAAAACACAGAUGUUUUUAAAGCUGCACAGUUGAGAUUUUGCUUUUUGAUUGUAAAAAUUUAGCAUGUGAAAUGAAUUAGAUGCCGGCUUUUCCUGAGACUUAAUUUCUAAGGUAAGUUAGGGAAAGCCCUGCUGUUUUUGAGAAGAAUGGUCUUGGUUGGGGGGGGUGGGAGGUGGGCAGCUGGGGUUGGCAGGGGGACGCAUAUAAGCAUGAUAAUUUUCAAAAUCGAGAAAAAAGCAAGAGAAGCCAGAUUGAAUACAUUAAUGAGUUUUCUCCUCCUGGGAUUUGAGUUAAAGCUUUCUCAUAAUUGAAAACUUGUGAGAUGCUCCUCUGGGCCAGAAUACAAAACUGUAGGUAUGCACCCGUGGCCUGGCACGGCAGCGAUGUGCCCGCGCGGAGGUCAGGAGUGAAAUGGGUCUGGACAAAGGAAUCUGUAGCCUCGGUCAGCUCUGAAUGGGCUUGGGAGCUGCUCUCUCCGGGCUCUGGACCUUUCCCUCGAUGGCCUCUCCCAAGUGCUCAUCAGGAUUUCUCCGUACCGGUGGGAAGGUAUGUCCCAGAAGCAUCCUCAGCAAAACAAAAUGAGCCAACUCUGUUUUUGGAAACGGAUAAACGGAUUGGAUCUUUGGGAAAAUAGAGAUGACACAGCCAAAGAGGGGGCCUGGUCAGGUGUUACACUGGACCCUCCCUGUGGGCUCCAUCCAUGCUGCCUUGUGGGGCCCUCAGGAAGUUUUACUCCCCCGACGAAGCAGAACCAGGUACCGGCCUUGGAUCAAGGGCCUUGGGUUUGGGUUCCAGAGUUGUUAUGGGCUUUGCUGUUUUUGGUGGGGUAGACCUUGUCCCCUUUCAGGACCUUAGGUCCUUCAACUCUGAAAUGGAGGUUGGUUUCGACGAGCUAUUUUCUAAAUUCUGUUCUGCAGAAUUGUAGUUCUAAGAGAUGUUUAAAAAACGAAACAAAGCCAAAAGCAGAACAGAAGGGGAAAAAACCAAAACGAGCUGUGGAAGAUGAUGUCCCCUAGGCCAAU